GAUACACUCCUAUGGAACAGGACUUGCUUCAGUGGGGCUUUGGUGCUCACUAAGUCUGCCCCUUGAGUGUGUCACU
rfam:Myotis brandtii contig316173, whole genome shotgun sequence.